CGGGGCGUAGUUCAGAUGGCUAGAGCGCUUGCAUGGGGUGCAAGAGGUCGCACGUUCAAGUCGUGUCGCCCCGA
rnacentral:tRNA from 1 species